UCGUCUACCUGCUGUGGACAGAUGAAAUGAAUAUGGGUAUCGAUACCGCCAGCGGUGACAAACAUCCUUUCCCCGGCAACAAUAUCCGUAGCUGAGCCGAUAAUCAUUCCAGGCGUGAUACCAUCCAUAACAUCCGGGUUGCCUGCCUUUCCAAUGCCAACGAUGAUGCCGUUCUUGAUACCGAUAUCUGCCUUGUAGAUGCCCGUCCAGUCGAGAAUGACUGCAUUGGUGAUGCAGCUAUCCAGGACCUCAUCUGCACGUCUACCGGUGGCCUGUCCCAUACCUUCUCUCAA
rnacentral:sRNA from 1 species